ACAAGAUCUCGGCGUUCCAGGGCGGCGUUUCUCCCACCUAACAGCCGGGACUUGCCAACCAUUCUUGCUGGACUGGGAAAUGAUUCUACAGAUUAGAAAACAAAGGUCUCACUCGAUCACCCAGGCUGGAGUGCAGUGGUGGAAUCACAGCUCACUGCAACCUCAAACUUCUGGGAUCAAGAGAUCCUCCCACCUCAGCCUUGGAGUAGCUGGGACAAUGGGCACACAUCCUCACACCUGGCUACGUUCUCUAAAUUUGGAUGUAAAAAUAUAUAAUCUAUUAUUACCUCAUGACAUAGCUGCUGUUUAUCCAACAUUCAAAUUAAAUACAUUUCUUUGAAUUAGUAUUUAAUUUUCUCUUCCUUGUGUCUAUACUUUCGUAAAUUGAUGUUUAAAAAACAAGCAAGGCCAGUGUUUGGCAUUUCUCUCCCACGUAAUUUGUGACCUGGGAGAGGGGAAAAUGGCUCUUCUCCAGUCUGUCGAUUUCAAGGGUCAGCUGCCCUUUGACAUCAAUGUCUUCCUGUCUUCUGCAGUGUCAUAACGUGUCAUUGUCAGGAAUUCUGUAUCCCAAGAGGACAAAAGAAAACCAGGUCAAGGGAACUUGCAUGGAAAGGUAAACGUUUUUAAGAAUGGCAAGUUUGGCUUAAUUUUUAACAUAAUUGAAAGCUAAUGGGGCUAUACAUGGCUGGUAGAAAUAGACAAGAAUCCAGUUUGACCUAGUUUCCGUAAAGAUAAUGAGUCCAAGAAGAAAACAGUGGAUUUGAUUUACAAACGUUUUCCUGUUUUAGGAAUUAAGGUGAGAUUAUCAGUAAGGCUUCACGGGCCCUAGACUUUUUAUUAUUAUUAUUUUUUUUUUUUUUUUGAGACGGAGUUUCGCUCUUGUUACCCAGGCUGGAGUGCAAUGGCGCGAUCUCGGCUCACCGCAACCUCCGCCUCCUGGGUUCAGGCAAUUCUCCUGCCUCAGCCUCCUGAGUAGCUGGGAUUACAGGCAUGCGCCACCAUGCCCAGCUAAUUUUUGUAUUUUUAGUAGAGACUCGGUUUCACCAUGUUGACCAGGAUGGUCUCGAUCUCUUGACCUCGUGAUCCACCCGCCUUGGCCUCCCAAAGUGCUGGGAUUACAGGCUUGAGCCACCGCGGCCCGGCCAUGAAAUUCUUAAUACCAGGAAUAGGACUUAUUGAUAAAGGAAAGUGUGGGAUAUGGGGCAGUAUGUGUGACAGAAGAAGAUCAGUAGAUGACCAGUGGCAGUGGAAGGAUCAAAAAGGAACAAGAGAGAGAGAUUUCUGUCCAUCAUGCUUGUCUAAAAUGAAACCAGAGCCACAUUGUGUGUCAUUUACAGCUUCAUGUUUGCAUGUAUUUGUC
rnacentral:lncRNA from 1 species